GACGAACGCUGGCGGCGUGCUUAACACAUGCAAGUCGAACGGAAAGGCCCUGCUUGCAGGGUACUCGAGUGGCGAACGGGUGAGUAACACGUGGGUGAUCUGCCCUGCACUUCGGGAUAAGCCUGGGAAACUGGGUCUAAUACCGGAUAGGAGCCAUUUUUAGUGUGAUGGUUGGAAAGUUUUUUCGGUGUAGGAUGAGCUCGCGGCCUAUCAGCUUGUUGGUGGGGUAAUGGCCUACCAAGGCGGCGACGGGUAGCCGGCCUGAGAGGGUGGACGGCCACAGUGGGACUGAGAUACGGCCCAGACUCCUACGGGAGGCAGCAGUGGGGAAUAUUGCACAAUGGGCGCAAGCCUGAUGCAGCGACGCCGCGUGGGGGAGGACGGCCUUCGGGUUGGAAACUCCUUUCGCUAGGGACGAAGCUUUUUGUGACGGUACCUAGAUAAGAAGCACCGGCUAACUACGUG
rnacentral:rRNA from 1 species